GCCCAGCUAGCUCAUUCGGUAGAGCAUGAGACUCUUAAUCUCAGGAUCGUGGGUUCAUGCCCCAUGCUGGGUG
rnacentral:tRNA from 1 species